UGUGGAACGACUUUCAUCUGGAUAUUCUAGGGAAGACGCUUUAUAAGCCAUCCUGUGGAUUUCAUCCUAAUCAAAGACAUACAGUUCUGAAGAUACAUAGACCUCGCCGUAUUUACUGAAAUACGCAUCACAGGUACAAAUACACAAACAUUUAGUAGACGUGUAUCAUGCUGUCAAACAUAGUCCUUUCUUCUUACUCGUGUAUUAGCCUUUGUUCAUUUACUCAUAUAGGCAUUGAAGUUUUGUGGAGUGCCAGUUGUGUCCUGGGCACUAUGCUGUAUUGAGGGAACACCAGCAGUCAAGGCAGACAUAUUGUCUACCUUCAUGUA